AUUGAACGCUGGCGGCAUGCUUUACACAUGCAAGUCGAACGGCAGCGCGGGGGCAACCCUGGCGGCGAGUGGCGAACGGGUGAGUAAUGUAUCGGAACGUACCUUUCAGUGGGGGGAUAACGUAGCGAAAGUUACGCUAAUACCGCAUAUUCUGUGAGCAGGAAAGCAGGGGGAUCGCAAGACCUUGCGCUGAUUGAGCGGCCGAUAUCAGAUUAGCUAGUUGGUGAGGUAAAGGCUCACCAAGGCGACGAUCUGUAGCGGGUCUGAGAGGAUGAUCCGCCACACUGGAACUGAGACACGGUCCAGACUCCUACGGGAGGCAGCAGGUGGGGAAUUUUGGACAAGUGGGGGCAACCCUGAUCCAGCCAUGCCGCGUGAGUGAAGAAGGCC
rnacentral:rRNA from 1 species